GCCCGUUGGGCACUGGGGGACGCGGGCGCGUCAGGAGAACUAUGCCAUUUUUGGGUCAGGACUGGAGAUCUCCUGGAUGGAGUUGGAUUAAGACAGAAGAUGGCUGGAAGAGUUGUGAAUCUUGUAGUCAGAAACUUGAAAGAGAGAAUAACCAUUGUAACAUCAGUCACAGCAUAUCCGCCCCUUUGAAUCAAUGGCUGCUAACACAAGCAUCCCUGCACAAAAAGGUUUUAUGACAGCAACCCUGGCUACCUUCUGUGGGGCACGGUGAGCGAGAAC
rnacentral:lncRNA from 1 species